AUUGAACGCUGGCGGCAUGCUUUACACAUGCAAGUCGAACGGCAGCACGAAAGAGCUUGCUCUUUUGGUGGCGAGUGGCGAACGGGUGAGUAAUGCAUCGGAACGUACCGAGUAAUGGGGGAUAACUAUCCGAAAGGAUAGCUAAUACCGCAUACGCUUUGAGAAGGAAAGUGGGGGCUCUUCGGACCUCACGUUAUUCGAGCGGCCGAUGUCUGAUUAGCUAGUUGGUGGGGUAAGGGCCUACCAAGGCGACGAUCAGUAGCGGGUCUGAGAGGAUGAUCCGCCACACUGGGACUGAGACACGGCCCAGACUCCUACGGGAGGCAGCAGUGGGGAAUUUUGGACAAUGGGCGCAAGCCUGAUCCAGCCAUGCCGCGUGUCUGAAGAAGGCCUUCGGGUUGUAAAGGACUUUUGUUAGGGAAGAAAAGGAUAGUGUUAAUACCAUUAUCUGCUGAC
rnacentral:rRNA from 1 species